rnacentral:rRNA from 1 species
AUUAGGUAGGACUACCCGCUGAACUUAAGCAUAUCAAUAAGCGGAGGAAAAGAAACCAACAGGGAUUGCCUCAGUAACGGCGAGUGAAGCGGCAAUAGCUCAAAUUUGAAAUCUGGCUCCUUUGGAGUCCGAGUUGUAAUUUGUAGAGGAUGCUUUGGUGCGGCCUUGGUCUAAGUUCUUUGGAACAGGACAUCACAGAGGGUGAGAAUCCCGUAUGUGGCUAAAGGCUUCAACCGUCAAAAGCUCCUUCAACGAGUCGAGUUGUUUGGGAAUGCAGCUCUAAAUGGGAGGUAAAUUUCUUCUAAAGCUAAAUAUUGGCCAGAGACCGAUAGCGAACAAGUAGAGUGAUCGAAAGAUGAAAAGCACUUUGGAAAGAGAGUUAAACAGUACGUGAAAUUGUUGAAAGGGAAACGAUUGAAGUCAGUCAUGCUCUUUGGUAUUUAUAUCAUUGA